AUUGAACGCUGGCGGCAUGCCUUACACAUGCAAGUCGAACGGCAGCACGGACUUCGGUCUGGUGGCGAGUGGCGAACGGGUGAGUAAUAUAUCGGAACAUACCUUGUAGUGGGGGAUAACUAUCCGAAAGGAUAGCUAAUACCGCAUACGCUCUAAAGAGGAAAGCGGGGGAUCGUAAGACCUCGUGCUAUAAGAGUGGCCGAUAUCUGAUUAGCUAGUUGGUGAGGUAAAGGCUCACAAAGGCGACGAUCAGUAGCUGGUCUGAGAGGACGACCAGCCACACUGGAACUGAGACACGGUCCAGACUCCUACGGGAGGCAGCAGUGGGGAAUUUUGGACAAUGGGGGCAACCCUGAUCCAGCAAUGCCGCGUGAGUGAAGAAGGCCUUCGGGUUGUAAAGCUCUUUUGUCAGGGAAGAAACGGUUGUGGCUAAUAUCCAUGGCUAAUGACGGUACCUGAAGAAUAAGCACCGGCUAACUACGUGCCAGCAGCCGCGGUAAUAC
rnacentral:rRNA from 1 species